CUGACAAAGGGUUAAAAUAUGUUAGCAGAAAUUAUUCCAACCUUUUUUGUUAUCUAUUUGAGAAUCAGUUCUACUUGAAAAUAAUACCCCUCGACCCGUUUCAUUUUCCAGAUAGGAACCGUCUGUCAAAAUAGUGUCGUUUCUGAAGAAUAUUAUUGAAUUAUGUCAAUUUGGAAUCUAAUCAGGAAACAUUUAUUUUCAUAUAACCCAUGAGAUGAAUUAAAAGUAGCUUCACCUAAUUAUUCUAUAUAAUAGAAAUACAUUCAGUUUCGCAAAGGGAGGAAAUGUCAGAAACCGGUUGACGUGGGCUUGCUGAUGAUAUACAUCGCAGCUUUAAUAAAAGAACCUAGGAUAGCAGGUGUCUUUUUUUCUGGUGCAAUAAUGCGUAGAAGUUUCGCUCGGCGUUAUCCGUGGUAAUAUUCUAAUUUGUAUGUUUUUCCAGCAAGAACUUGUAAGUAAGUGUGCACUUUAAGUAAUGAAAUAUACACAAUUAAGAAUUCUUAUCGUACCAAUUUAAUUUGAGCAAACGUGAACAGUUUUAAUUUGAUUGUGUUUGACAAUAUCAGAAUCAUCGUGUUGACUCACGUGAAGAACGGCAAACUUAUUUAUUAUCUUCCAAGUAAUGCUUGUGCACGAGAGUAAAUUUUCUUCUCCCCGGAGGAAGCCGAGAAAGACAAGACACACAUCCAUUAUCUACAUUGAAGGCAUCAGGUUGACU